rnacentral:tRNA from 1 species
GGGCCUUUAGCUCAGCUGGUAGAGCACCUGGUUUACACCCAGGGUGUCGUCGGUUCGAUCCCGGCAGGGCCCACCA